ACUCCUGCGGGAGGCAGCAGUGAGGAAUAUUGGACAAUGGGUGGAAGCCUGAUCCAGCCAUCCCGCGUGCAGGAAGACGGCCCUAUGGGUUGUAAACUGCUUUUAUCUGGGGAUAAACCUACUUACGUGUAAGUAGCUGAAGGUACCAGAAGAAUAAGCACCGGCUAACUCCGUGCCAGCAGCCGCGGUAAUACGGAGGGUGCAAGCGUUAUCCGGAUUUAUUGGGUUUAAAGGGUCCGUAGGCGGACUGAUAAGUCAGUGGUGAAAUCCGACAGCUUAACCGUCGAACUGCCAUUGAUACUGUUAGUCUUGAGUAAGGUUGAAGUGGCUGGAAUAAGUAGUGUAGCGGUGAAAUGCAUAGAUAUUACUUAGAACACCAAUUGCGAAGGCAGGUCACUAAGUCUUAACUGACGCUGAUGGACGAAAGCGUGGGGAGCGAACAGGAUUAGAAACCCCGGUAGUCCCAUGA
rnacentral:rRNA from 1 species